rnacentral:misc_RNA from 1 species
UUGUGGAGGAGGACGCCGAAGGUGGGGCUAAUGACUGGGGUGAAGUCGUAACAAGGUAGCCGUACCGGAAGGUGCGGCUGGAUCACCUCCUAACAGGGAGACAACAAAAUGUUUAAUAUUAUUAUUUUGUCACCUUAGGUCGAUCGGUAUCUCACGUUCUUAAUUUAUUAAGAAUUUCAUUUCCUAAGUUUUUCUAGGUCACACCCAUUAUUUUCCUGGGCCAUUAGCUCAGGUGGUUAGAGCGCACCCCUGAUAAGGGUGAGGUCCCUGGUUCAAGUCCAGGAUGGCCCAUAUCUCUAUGUUGGGGGUAUAGCUCAGUUGGUAGAGCGCCUGCUUUGCAAGCAGGAUGUCAGCGGUUCGAGUCCGCUUACCUCCACUGAUCACCACCUCUUCCAUAAUCGAUAGAAAGGAAAUGUUUUGAGUUGUGAUCUAAUUCUGAACGAAUCUAGCUUCCUAAUGAAAUUAUUAAGAUGCUGGACUCAUUGAAUUAAUUUCAUUGUUUUCAGAGAACCUUGACAACUGCAUAGAUUAUUUUUAAAGACAAUAAGCAUCUUUAAUGAUGCAGAUUUAUUAUUUGUGCGAAUGCAUUAAUAACAAUUCUAUUAAGCUGAUGCUUCAAUUUUGAAGUUAUUGGUCAAGCUACAA